rnacentral:rRNA from 1 species
UAAUACGUAGGGUGCGAGCGUUAAUCGGAAUUACUGGGCGUAAAGGGUGCGCAGGCGGCUCCGCGUGUCAGGCGUGAAAUCCCCGGGCUUAACUUGGGAAUGGCGCUUGAAACUACGGGGCUGGAGUGUGGCAGAGGGAGGUGGAAUUCCACGUGUAGCGGUGAAAUGCGUAGAGAUGUGGAGGAACACCGAUGGCGAAGGCAGCCUCCUGGGCCAACACUGACGCUCAUGCACGAAAGCGUGGGGAGCAAACAGGAUUAGAUACCCUGGUAGUCCACGCCCUAAACGAUGUCGACUAGUUGUUGGGGGAGUUAAAUCCCUUAGUAACGCAGCUAACGCGUGAAGUCGACCGCCUGGGGAGUACGGUCGCAAGAUUAAAACUUAAAUGAAUUGACGG